GAUGAACGCUGGCGGCGUGCCUAAUACAUGCAAGUCGAGCGAACAGACGAGGAGCUUGCUCCUUUGACGUUAGCGGCGGACGGGUGAGUAACACGUAGGUAACCUACCUAUAAGACUGGGAUAACUUCGGGAAACCGGAGCUAAUACCGGAUAAUAUUUCGAACCGCAUGGUUCUAUAGUGAAAGAUGGCUUUGCUAUCACUUAUAGAUGGACCUGCGCCGUAUUAGCUAGUUGGUAAGGUAACGGCUUACCAAGGCAACGAUACGUAGCCGACCUGAGAGGGUGAUCGGCCACACUGGAACUGAGACACGGUCCAGACUCCUACGAGAGGCAGCAGUAGGGAAUCUUCCGCGAUGGGCGAAAGCCUGACGGAGCAACGCCGCGUGAGUGAUGAAGGUCUUCGGAUCGUAAAACUCUGUUAUUAGGGAAGAACAAUCGUGUAAGUAACUGUGCACGUCUUGACGGUACCUAAUCAGAAAGCCACGGCUAACUACGUG
rnacentral:rRNA from 1 species